UAUUGUACAUAAAUUUUAAUUUUGAUUUCUGGGUCCCUCCUGAACACAGAUUUUCUGGGCAACCAAACGUGGAAUUAACCAUUUCAGAAAAAAAAACACCGUUGAAUUAACAAUUCUCACAAUUUUACGAUUUGCUCACAAAUUCAAGCCUGCGGAGGUUGAAGAAAUCAAAUCCUCACUUUUAAUUCGUCAUACCUUGCCAACCAGUCUCCCGAUGAAUUACAGAAGGGAUCACCGUUCCUCCAGAUCAUCUCUCUUUAAUGACCUUGAGGAAGGUAGUCUCAGGUCUUCUUCCUCAUAUUCACAUGACAUUAACGAGCAUGACAAUGACAAAGCUGUUGAGAGUUUGCAAGAUAGAGUGAUUUUCUUAAAACAAAUAACAGGUGACAUACAUGAUGAGGUAGAGACUCAUAAUCGCUUCCUUGAUCGAAUGGGGAAUAACAUGGAUGCUUCAAGGGGCAUAAUGUCUGGCACCAUGGAUCGGUUUAAGAGGGUUUUCGAGAAAAAAUCCAAUCGAAGAAUGUGUACACUAGUCUCGUGUUUUGUGAUUACUUUUUUAAUAAUAUACUAUCUUAUCAGGAUACUCAGUUACUUCAAUCAUAGCUGACAGAAAACUGGAGAAGCUUUUUUGCUCAAAUCUUCAGUUACAUGUCGAAUACAGAUGCUAAGCCAUAUUCAAUGAGAAAUAUUAUACCAAUCUAAGUGACCAGUAAACGAGGGCAGAUCAGAGGCUUGGAAUCUAAUCUUAUUAUGUGCUCUGCUUUAUAGACAUGAACUGACAAGCAAACGCAUAGGGGUCUUCUCUUUAAAUGCAGUGUUGGCACACAAACAUAUUGGCUUUGUUAGUGAAGUUACUUGAGAAUUUUAAUUUUCUGAUAAUCUAGUCUAUAAUCUUUCAAAUAGAGAUCCAAACAAAUGGGACCCUUUGAUUCUGAUCUCUAAUCUUGUACUCCCAUCAAGAUGGGCCAAAUUCCUUUAAAACAGUGGGGUAUUCAUACUAGUAGGAUGAAUAUACAUCUUCUCCAGUAGGUUAUCAAA